rnacentral:rRNA from 1 species
GACGACGACGGGUAGCCGGCCUGAGAGGGCGACCGGCCACACUGGGACUGAGACACGGCCCAGACUCCWACGGGAGGCAGCAGUGGGGAAUAUUGCACAAUGGGSGAAACCCUGAUGCAGCGACGCAGCGUGCGGGAUGACGGCCUUCGGGUUGUAAACCGCUUUCAGCAGGGAAGAAGCGCAAGUGACGGUACCUGCAGAAGAAGUACCGGCUAACUACGUGCCAGCAGCCGCGGUAAUACGUAGGGUACGAGCGUUGUCCGGAAUUAUUGGGCGUAAAGAGCUCGUAGGUGGUUGGUCACGUCUGCUGUGGAAACGCAACGCUUAACGUUGCGCGUGCAGUGGGUACGGGCUGACUAGAGUGCAGUAGGGGAGUCUGGAAUUCCUGGUGUAGCGGUGAAAUGCGCAGAUAUCAGGAGGAACACCGGUGGCGAAGGCGGGACUCUGGGCUGUAACUGACACUGAGGAGCGAAAGCMUGGGGAGCGAACAGGAUUAGAUACCCUGGUAGUCCAUGCCGUAAACGUUGGGSACUAGGUGUGGGGGGCAUUCCACGUUCUCCGCGCCGUARCUAACGCAUUAAGUGCCCCGCCUGGGGGAGUACGG